GCCCAAGGCAGACCGGUUCUUAACGUAAUCCAUCAGCAUCCACACACGCCAACGGAAAAGACCCGCUCCAGUCCGGAUUGGAGAUAUCCCCUGCUGGGGUGUUUGAAGGUGACACCUCUGUGAUGGUCUGCUGACUGCAGGUGAUGCUGAGGAGGCCACAGCCGUCGUGGCGGCGGGAAGGUAAAUAAAACCCGCCGUGUGCUGCCUCUUGCCAGCCGGCGCUGCCCUUACCCGCGGUUCCGGGACGGGCGAUCUCUGGGACAGCUUUGUGGGUCCUCCCUUCCUACACGGACACCGUGAGUGUGGACAGUCGCGGACUAAAUAAACCACAUCAGUCUGCUUUCUGUCAUUUUAUGCCAAACAACUCUCAGUGCGUGAUUAAUUUAUUCUAAUUAUCAAAGUGGAUAUUAUCAAUGGAGCAAUGCCAGUUUCCUGCCUGUCUCAAUGGCAAGGGUACAAAAGAAUGGCCCACCCUGCUCUCCCCUAUAUACAUCACACCUACACCCAUUCUCACUCUACAUUUGCAUCCAUUCAUUUGCACUAUGCAUAUGGUCAUUGCACUUUGUCCUGCUUUAUGUACCAUGUACUCUUUAUGUUCCUUUGCUGCAUGAAACUGAGUUUCCCCCUGGGAUGUUAGAGUAUAUCCACACCUGUCAGAGCUGUAUCCUGGCAUCUUCCCUUCCUGGAUUACGGAAGGCUGUACUUGGGACCAAAUUAGACUGAAGAAUGAUGACUGAUGGAUGGAUGGAUGGAUACAGUCUCACUGCACCUGCCUAUCAGGCCAAAUUGAGAUGCUCAGCCGGAACGCAUCCUGAAGGCUAGCACGAAAGAACCGGCCACGUUCAAACAGAAAAAAGAUGGCUGCCUGUCAAGGGGAAUCCAGUAUGAAGCCGAGGAGAAAACAGCUGCCCUUUCAGCUGGAAGGUUCUGACUUUUAUUCAAAUGAGUGACCUUUCAUUUUCCAGCUAUUUUUGUAGUUUAAAAGAAAUCAAAAACAGAAGAUGGAAUGUGAGAGUCUUGGACCACCACAUGGUGAUCCCAUUCUCAACAACUAAAGUAAGAAUCCUGAAUACAUUAGUACUAGUUACUGAAGCAAUAUUAUGAGUGACGUAUGAGGCACAAGACCACUAGAUCUUGUUUUUUU